rnacentral:rRNA from 1 species
CAGCCGCCACGGGAAUACGUAGGUGGCAAGCGUUGUCCGGAAUUAUUGGGCGUAAAGGGCUCGCAGGCGGUUUCUUAAGUCUGAUGUGAAAGCCCCCGGCUCAACCGGGGAGGGUCAUUGGAAACUGGGAAACUUGAGUGCAGAAGAGGAGAGUGGAAUUCCACGUGUAGUGGUGAAAUGCGUAGAGAUGUGGAGGAACACCAGUGGCGAAGGCGACUCUCUGGUCUGUAACUGACGCUGAGGAGCGAAAGCGUGGGGAGCGAGCAGGAUUAGAUACCCGCGUAGUCCCUGUCUCUUAUAC